CUGGGCAAUUUUACGGUCCAUUUUGACGGUCCGUCAAACAGUUUGACGGUCCGUAAAAAUGGGCGUAGAAUUGUCCGAAGGAUCAGAUUUCAAGCCAUUAAAAAGAGGACCCAAGUUCAUAAAUUCAUUUCAUUUUCCACACUUCUCUCUAAGAACCCUCUAGAACCCACUCCAAUAUUCAUCCACAAGAAAAAUCAAAGGUAAAUCAAGAUCAACAACACAAAAUUCAUGGAACAAGGUGUAUAAAACUUGAUUGAAAGUUCAUCUCUUUCAAGAAAUCCCAAGGAAGGUGAAGAAGGGUUUUGGUGCAAAAGGAGGAAUUCUACUCCAAGCUUGUUCCACUAUCAUUUGAGGUAUACAUGAGUGCAUCAUAGGGGAAGCAAGCAAGCGAUAAGAAUAGUAAACGUCAAAGGUAGACAGGGAGGUGAGCCUGAUUCAGACUCAUGGGAGCUGGCAGUUGAUUUGAGAGCACUCCAUUGUUCGGAGGUG